GACUUCUGGGAUGGCUCAGUCAAGAGAGCAUGAGACUCUAAACCUCAGGGUUGUGGGUUUGAGCUCCACAGUGGGCA